rnacentral:rRNA from 1 species
CAGUAGCCGCGGGAAUACAGAGGGUGCGAGCGUUAAUCGGAUUUACUGGGCGUAAAGCGUGCGUAGGCGGCUUCUUAAGUCGGAUGUGAAAUCCCUGAGCUUAACUUAGGAAUUGCAUUCGAUACUGGGAAGCUAGAGUAUGGGAGAGGAUGGUAGAAUUCCAGGUGUAGCGGUGAAAUGCGUAGAGAUCUGGAGGAAUACCGAUGGCGAAGGCAGCCAUCUGGCCUAAUACUGACGCUGAGGUACGAAAGCAUGGGGAGCAAACAGGAUUAGAUACCCGCGUAGUCCCUGUCUCUUAUAU